rnacentral:rRNA from 1 species
UACGUAGGGUGCGAGCGUUAAUCGGAAUUACUGGGCGUAAAGCGUGCGCAGGCGGUUCGCCAAGUCAGGUGUGAAAUCCCCGGGCUUAACCUGGGAAUUGCGCUUGAAACUAGCGGGCUUGAGUGUGGCAGAGGGGGGUGGAAUUCCAGGUGUAGCGGUGAAAUGCGUAGAUAUCUGGAGGAACACCGGUGGCGAAGGCGGCGUCCUGGACCAACACUGACACUGAUGAGCGAAAGCCAGGGGAGCAAACGGG